GACGAGGGGUCCUAGCGUUGUUCGGAAUUACUGGGCGUAAAGCGCACGUAGGCGGCUAUGUAAGUCGGAUGUGAAAGCCCCGGGCUUAACCCGGGAAGUGCAUUCGAUACUGUAUAGCUUGAGUUUGGGAGAGGGCAGUGGAAUUCCUGGUGUAGUGGUGAAAUACGUAGAUAUCAGGAGGAACACCGGUGGCGAAGGCGGCUGCCUGGCCCACAACUGACGCUGAGGUGCGAAAGCGUGGGGAUCGAAC
rnacentral:rRNA from 1 species